rnacentral:rRNA from 1 species
CCUACGGGAGGCAGCAGUAGGGAAUAUUGCUCAAUGGGGGAAACCCUGAAGCAGCAACGCCGCGUGGGGGAUGAAGGUUUUAGGAGUGUAAACUCCUUUUUGUAGGGAAGAUUAUGACGGUAUCUAACGAAUAAGCACCGGCUAACUCCGUGCCAGCAGCCGCGGUAAUACGGAGGGUGCAAGCGUUACUCGGAAUCACUGGGCGUAAAGGGUGCGUAGGCGGGGUAAUAAGUCAGGUGUGAAAUCCUGUAGCUUAACUCCAGAACUGCAUUUGAAACUGUUACUCUGGAGUGCGGGAGAGGUAGGUGGAAUUCGUGGUGUAGGGGUGAAAUGCGUAGAUAUCAAGAGGAAUACCCAUUGCGAAGGCGACAUGCUGGAACGUUACUGACGCUGAUGCACGAAAGCGUGGGGAGCAAACAGGAUUAGAUACCCGGGUAGUC